AGCGCUUUGGCAGUGUGGUUAGCUGGUUGUGUGGAUAUUAUUUCACAGCCACUAUCUUCACUGCCGCGGCGAC
rfam:Lucilia cuprina strain LS Scaffold521, whole genome shotgun sequence.